UACGUAGGGGGCUAGCGUUGUCCGGAAUCAUUGGGCGUAAAGCGCGCGUAGGCGGCCCGGUAAGUCCGCUGUGAAAGUCGGGGGCUCAACCCUCGAAUGCCGGUGGAUACUGUCGGGCUAGAGUGCGGAAGAGGCGAGUGGAAUUCCUGGUGUAGCGGUGAAAUGCGCAGAUAUCAGGAGGAACACCUAUUGCGAAGGCAGCUCGCUGGGACGUAACUGACGCUGAGACGCGAAAGCGUGGGGAGCAAACAGG
rnacentral:rRNA from 1 species